GCUAGAUAUACGCGCAAAUGCAUAUGGAUUGGGGGCUUUGGGUAUUAUCGAGAACUUUGAUUCAACUUCAGUUUUCGUUUAAGGGGGAGCCACAUAUCGUAGUUAUGGUUUGUCUUUACUUUGAUCGAUAAAUGCAUCGAUAUAUUGUAUCGAUAAUCAAAUGAUUCAACCAUAAAUGACUUCGCUUCGUUGGCCUAUGUACAAUUUUGAGUUAUUGCAAUGAACUUUUUUCUUAUAUACAAU
rnacentral:lncRNA from 1 species